UACGUAGGGGGCUAGCGUUGUCCGGAAUCAUUGGGCGUAAAGCGCGUGUAGGCGGCCCGGUAAGUCCGCUGUGAAAGUCGGGGGCUCAACCCUCGGAUGCCGGUGGAUACUGUCGGGCUCGAGUACGGAAGAGGCGAGUGGAAUUCCUGGUGUAGCGGUGAAAUGCGCAGAUAUCUGGAGGAACACCGGUGGCGAAGGCGGCAUCCUGGACCAAUUCUGACGCUGAGGAGCGAAAGCCAGGGGAGCAAACGGG
rnacentral:rRNA from 1 species